rnacentral:rRNA from 1 species
GCGUCGGGGUUACAUUGGGAACUGAUGCUAAUACCCGAUAUGGCGAGAGCUGAAAGAUUAAUUGCCUGAAGAUGAACUCGCGUCCGAUUAGCUAGUUGGAGUGGUAAAGGCACCCCAAGGCGAUGAUCGGUAGCUGGUCUGAGAGGAUGAUCAGCCACACUGGGACUGAGACACGGCCCAGACUCCUACGGGAGGCAGCAGUGGGGAAUUUUCCGCAAUGGGCGAAAGCCUGACGGAGCAAUACCGCGUGCGGGAGGACGGCCUUUGGGUUGUAAACCGCUUUUCUCAGGGAAGAAGAUCUGACGGUACCUGAGGAAUCAGCAUCGGCUAACUCCGUGCCAGCAGCCGCGGUAAUACGGAGGAUGCAAGCGUUAUCCGGAAUUAUUGGGCGUAAAGCGUCCGCAGGUGGUUGGUCAAGUCUGCUGUCAAAGCGUGGAGCUUAACUCCAUAAGGGCGGUGGAAACUGAUUAACUAGAGGAUGGUAGGGGUCACGGGAAUUCCCAGUGUAGCGGUGAAAUGCGUAGAUAUUGGGAAGAACACCAGCGGCGAAAGCGCGUGACUGGGCCAUUACUGACACUCAUGGACGAAAGCUAGGGGAGCGAAAGGGAUUAGAUACCCCCAAAUAAUUCACCCCGUUACCACCCCCGUCCGG